UCUCACUCUAGCAGAUAUGGCCAUGAGGCUUCAGCAUAAUUCCAGCCAUGACCUGCAAAAACUCACAAAUCUAUAAUCAAAUGAAAAAGGUCACUCACUUUGAAGCAAACCCUUUUCAUUUUUUACCUUAUAAUAAGCAAACCUUUUUCAUCUUUUACCCUUACAUUUUACCACAUGUAGCUAAACAAACUGGAAUAGUAAAACAAGCUUUUCUAACCAUACACAGAGAGAUAUAUAAUUAACUAAUAGAGAAACUGUCUCCCGGUAUAUGUCUGACCAAAUGACCAAUUAGGAGGGGCAACAUUGUAAGAAACCAGUCUGCGGCCAUCACUGGUGGUCACAAGAAAGGAGAGGCUUUGUCCAUUGAGGUAAGAAUUGCUCUGCCAGUUUUGGCCCCAGUUUCUUGACAUUGCUUGCCACCGAGUCCUCGAGCCCUUGAUGGCCACAGAUUGCACAUCACCAGCACCACCAACGUUUGUCACAAGGACUAAGUUGAAGUAAGAGUGUCCAUUGACUGUGAACCUUAUGCCUCCUCUUC
rnacentral:lncRNA from 1 species